rnacentral:rRNA from 1 species
AUUGAACGCUGGCGGCAGGCCUAACACAUGCAAGUCGAGCGGCAGCGGGAAAGUAGCUUGCUACUUUUGCCGGCGAGCGGCGGACGGGUGAAUAAUGCCUGGGGAUCUGCCCAGUCGAGGGGGAUAACUACUGGAAACGGUAGCUAAUACCGCAUACGCCCUACGGGGGAAAGCAGGGGACCUUCGGGCCUUGCGCGAUUGGAUGAACCUGGGUGGGAUUAGCUAGUUGGUGAGGUAAUGGCUCACCAAGGCGACGAUCCCUAGCUGGUCUGAGAGGAUGAUCAGCCACACUGGAACUGAGACACGGUCCAGACUCCUACGGGAGGCAGCAGUGGGGAAUAUUGCACAAUGGGGGAAACCCUGAUGCAGCCAUGCCGCGUGUGUGAAGAAGGCCUUCGGGUUGUAAAGCACUUUCAGCGAGGAGGAAAGGUUGGUAGCUAAUAACUGCCAGCUGUGACGUUACUCGCAGAAGAAGCACCGGCUAACUCCGUGCCAGCCGCCGCGGUAACAC